CGGCCGCAGAGUUUGAUCAUGGCUCAGGAUGAACGCUGGCGGCGUGUCUAAGGCAUGCAAGUCGAACGAUUUUUGUAGCAAUACAAAAGUAGUGGCAAACGGGAGAGUAAUACAUUCAUAAUCUGCCUCAAAGACGAGAAUAACUUACCGAAAGGUUAGCUAAUACUCGAUGUGCUCGAUGUUCACAAGAAUGUCGAGUAAAGCUUUUGCGCUUUGAGUUGAGUGAAUGGCCUAUCAGCUAGUUGGCAGUGUAAAAGACUACCGAGGCGAUGACGGGUCGGGGGUGUGAGAGCACGACCCCCCUCACUGGGACUGAGACACGGCCCAGACUCCUACGGGAGGCAGCAGUGGGGAAUAUUGGACAAUGGGCGCAAGCCUGAUCCAGCCAUGCCGCGUGGGUGAUGAAGGCCCUAGGGUUGUAAAGCCCUUUCGGCGGGGAAGAUAAUGACGGUACCCGCAGAAGAAGC
rnacentral:rRNA from 1 species